CUGUUAUCUGAUAUACCGUUCCACUUGUUGCUCUUUUAUACCGCUGUUUUUGCGCUUUCCUGACACAGUUACCGCCAUACAGUCUGAUUUCCUUCAACAAUAAUCCCUGACUUGAAAUGCCGUCUCGUUCGUUGCCGUUUAUGCAUAUUUCCGUAAACACCGCAUAUUAGACUACGAAACCGGCCGGUCUUAUGCCGCCGUGACCUUUCCGUUUAUUUUGCUCUGCCAUAAAUUAUGUAACAAAUGGUCCGACGACUGAGAAGCCACCUGGCGGUUACUACAGUCGCGUGCGAUCGGUAUUUACGGCAUCGUUAUUCCGUUAACUGGCCACCCGGUCGCCUUACGUUUCGUAUACGGAAGCCGUUUUUCCGCGUUCUCAGUUCAACGAUGGAUCAAGCGCAACACCGUAUUAUCGCACCGGGAUGGAAACUCUGAUUCUGCUCAGUCAGUUGUCGUCGGAGCCAAACUGGGUUUUCCGAAAUGUCAAGCCGCAGUCGUUCUCGGAGACUCCGCCACCAUUUACGAAUUCACUGAAGUGAACGUUACUAUUGGAGUAAAAUACUCCACGUGCGGACCAGAUCCAUACAUCGCAGCCGAAAACGAUGACCGCGGAUACACCAUUGCUCUCGAUGGCGAAACUCUAAAGAGACAUUCAGUUUGUCUCCAUCGUCACUCCGUGGUCUUUAUCCAUGGAGCACCUUACCGUUACUAGGAUGGUACGUGGACGCCGGUAAACCCGACUUUCCAUAAGUCGCUAUUUCAUUGGCAUUUCAUGACAAAAUUCCUAACCGAUAACCUAGAAGAAACUCUCAGUGAUUCCUUGUCCGUUGACUCUUCCGAUUUUUGGACUUGACGGCCGAAUUAUCCGGCCUUAUGUUGGAGACUGGUAUUUCAAAUUUGUCGACUAUUAUAAGUCCAAAAUACAUACAAAGUACGCUCAAAUAUAUAAGCUGGCACAGCCUUCUGAACAUUUCCCUUACGAAGAUUACCGUUUUUAUUGCUGUAAUGUUUUGGUUCGGUAUCACCGAACGGUGAUCGCGUUUUUAAGCUGUCUUAGAGAUUGUUGCCGCCCGCGUUCGCACCGGCAAUACGAUUUCCAGCCUCGACGGCAGGAAACGGUCGCGGUCACCGCUACCGCUACGGAAACCCAGGACAGGAACCUUUCUCGGACUGUACCCACAGGGACGGUGGACAUUCCCAUGACGCCGCGUUACCGUCCUUCGGACACGGUUCGACAGGAUCCUGUCUACGCUAAUGCGCGUAUGGACGCCGAGGACUCGGAUGGAUCCACAAUCGGCACCCGGACUCCUUCUCCGGAUCCCACGUCUGGCCCACGGACGGAACCGACGGUGACUUUUGGGAAUGCGUUGAUGGAACAGCGCCGCAAGUUGGCACCAGUUCGUUACGGAACUCCGCCGACCGUGAGCAGCAUAUAACCGCUUAGCAUUAGCUUUGUUUACCGCUGAUGUAAAGUCAGCCAGCAAAUAAUUUAAAGUUUAAAAAAAAACAAUUUAUUGCAAAACUUCAAAAAUUGUAUUUUAUUUUGUUUAUGCUUAUAUUUUCUUUUCAUAAUUAAUUUAAGUCUGGUUCUCGCUUGUAUUUAGUCGAGUUUGCAAUGGCCAGGAUUAAGUACUUAAAUUUUCCAGUAAAAAGGAUCACUCUAUUUUUUUGUAGAAAAUUUAUCAAAAAUAUUGGUCAGGAAAUUUCCUUCGGGAAUCGUCCAAUUUUAGUUCGAAUUUCAAUAAAAGUUCUUGGAGAUAAACCCGGUUCUAUCCCCGGGAACCCAGUAAUUUUAAGGUUCGCUCCAGCGAACCCAGUUAUAUUAGGUUCGCUACCUGAAGCUUUAGGUCGCCGAUUUUUAUCAGUGAUAACCACCUGACAACGAACAGUGGGCGAUCAGAUUAAACGACCGGCAUUACAACUAUGGGUAGCACAUGGUGUUUGUGUGAAUGGACUGAGAUCGAAAUUUUCUGGGGCAAAAUUAGAUAUUGAAAUUUAAAAUAAAAUAGUUAGCGGAUAAGCUGGUGCAGCAGUUUGUUUGCACAGUGUCUACGCGAAUGAAGAAUCGCUCACAUGCUUCAAGACUCCUGAACCAACGCAGUCUAGAAUCGAUGUACAAAACCUGUCUGAAACAGCAAUACCAUCUGCUGUGAAGUCUCUGCAGAAAACUUCUAAUGUCUUUGACCAAAACCUGACAGCAACAACAUUGAAAAUUGCAGUGAAAGAAAAACAAAAAAAAGAAUUCCGUACGAGAUCGCACACGCCUGACUCGAUCGCAGAAGACGAACAAAAAAAAAUUUUCCCAGUCAGACAUGAGUUUAGCAUCGUAGACUGAAUGCACUAAAGUUGCAUUUAAAAAAAAGGGAAAAGAGGCGUGUGUUUAGAUAAGCGAACGAACAAUGUUCGAAACCAGUGACUUAAUAUCUAUAACUUUUGUUGUGUCGGUUUUGCCUCAGGAAAUGACAUAUCUGUUUAUUCGCGUGAAUACGGUGUGGUGUUGUGGUUUUGGUGUACGGUUAACCGCUGAUCAAAGUUCAAGUUCAAGAGCGACCGAAUGAUAUCAUCGAUCCAACCGCAUUUAUUAUAAAAUGGGUCAGGGAACGUAAAAUCCAAAACAUUUAUAAAAUGAAAAUUUGGUUCCACCCGGUUUUCCCUAAUAGCGUUCCAAAAAUAAAAUGCAGAUUAUUCCGCUGUACUAUCUGUAUUUCUUCUAACAGUAUCAAGUAUAAAUAUUAUUUGCAUAUUAUUAUCUGCUAUUUCAUGGAUGUGUUUCGAAAAUUUCAAAAUGCAAAAAUAGCUGCUUUAUCGUAUUGCUGGUUGACUCGCUUUUCUGUUUUUCUUGUAUAAUUAUGGACUGCGGACAGUCCUUUUUCCACGGAGAGAAGUGUCACGUAAAGAUUUCUUUUAGCGAUAUUCGCACGCGCUAGCCUUUUUCUGAUUGCUAAUGACGAUAUGCCCGUACAUGCUGUUAUCUGAUAUACCGUUCCACUUGUUGCUCUUUUAUACCGCUGUUUUUGCGCUUUCCUGACACAGUUACCACCAUACAGUCUGAUUUUCUUCAACAAUAAUCCCUGAUUUGAAUUGCCGUCUGGUUCGUUGCCGUUUAUGCAUAUUUCCGUAAACACCGCAUAUUAGACUACGAAACCGGCCGGUCUUAUGCCGCCGUGACCUUUCCGUUUAUUUUGCUCUGCCAUAAAUUAUGUAACAAUACCAUUAUUGUCCAGGAACAAAAUAUAUUUCCACCAUUUACUGAAACGUAGCCGGGCAGAUAUUAGACACUUAGCCCCGCUCUUCGAUUAUUAGUCGUGCUGCUAGCAUUUUGUCUCACAUUGAGUGAACCUAUCACGGUUUUCGGAUUAGAGCAAGCUAAAUCAAGCAACGAGCAGUGCCACAACCUACUCAUGGAAUUGACUGUGGACCACAAGAGCAUCUGAGGCGAAAGCCGAGGAUGACUCUUGUACAUGUCUAUAUCAAAACCAGAAUCUGGCGAUUGGUUAAACGCUUUACCAGUUCCAUCACUCGGAGAACUUCUGUGAUAAAGCAAGGAGAAAGAUAUGGCUGGCCGCCAACCCACUCUGGCCGAAGGCGGUUCCUGAGUCCAGUAAAUUGCGGUAGCCGCCUGCUGUAUUAGUAGAAAUCUUCCAGUCGCUGGACUCCUUCGGACGGCUCCGUUGUCGGCGUGUCUGCCAUUUGUGGAACGCUCUUCUCACGACACACGCCCACUUCCCUGAUGUGCGCGUCUCCGGCAAUUCCGUGGAAUAUCGCGUUGAGGAAUUUCGCGCGGACAGUUUGUACUGGGUGGCGGCAGCCCUGCAAAAAUGCCUCCGCAGCGACACCAAACUGGCGGUAGUCAGUCAAUUGUCGCUGCAGGACGCUAGCGGCCGGCAGCUGUCUGCGCCGAUUAACCAUAUCCUCCAACCGAGACGUCUGCCCGUGCUGGUGUUCCAUGACUGCGAUGUCGGCGGAUGGAUGGAUCGUAUCCAGAAGGUGAUCAGCGAAACGGUGGAUCUAGUUGUGCAGUGUGCUUGCGACAGGGUGGUGGGGAAGCAGUGCCGCCUCCCUAAUAACAGUUUUAAGGCGCUGGUGUCGCAACACGCAUUCAACGUCCAGUCGCGCCAGCAGAUGGAGGUGCAACUGUGGGAUGUGUUCGAAAGGAAUCUGGUACUCACAGAGCCCCUGGAUCGACAGGCCGUUCAGGAUUGGAUCGCGGAAUCUAUUCCUCGUGCGCUGAACGGUCCGGGAGCUUCGGAUGCGGUUCAAGUGAUUUUGAAGGCGUUGAACGAAUAUCAGAGUGCCGAUCCUCGAGAGUCCACACCCUACCGCCAGCGGGAGUGGACGGCGUGCAAUGUCGCCGAUGUGGAUGUUCGUCAGUUGACCACUCUGACGUUGGCGUUCGUAAAUGAACACCGUCAGCCGGUAAUUUAGCCAGCUUCCAGUGCUUGCGAUUUUGCUCGGGGUAUUCUUAAAAAUUAAUUCAAAGGCUGAACAAAAUGGUUGAAAGCUUAUUUGAUGUAAAAACGAUCUGCAUUGUGCUGGACUUCUUCAUUUCAAAUUUGAACAGGAUCGGUUUGUAAUGAGACUUUUGGCACAACUCCGUGUGUAUAAACGUUUGGAAUAUUGUAUUAUCGGUAACUCCACAGCCGGACGUUGCGCGAAUAAACGGUUUUCACGCCUGUGUACACAAUUCAUUUGGCCAUAAAAUGUCAUACAUUACUGCAAAAAAGUGUUUGGGAGUGCGCGAAAGCGAAAUUUUUCGUGCAUGUAUUCACUGUUAAAGUAUAAACAGCAGUGCCGAAAUUAAUA